GACAGGAGGAAACGCGGCACCAGCAGCAUCUCAUCUACUCUCCUUGACACCUCCUCCCCGUGGUUCCAGCCAGACCCUAGAGGUCAGCCUUGCAGACCAACAGGAGGACUCCAGCGUUCCCUUUUCAAGAGGUCCCCAGACUCCGGCUGCCCUCUUCCAGCGCCUGUGGCUAGCGCAAGGAGGCACCAGUGCUCUGAGGCUGUCGCGUGGUGCAGCGUCGAGCAUCCUUGCCGAGGUCCUUUCUGCUGCCUGUCCCGCCUCACCCCGCUCCCUCACACCAGCUGGCCCUCUUUGCCUCCCUUUCCCAGAAUCUUUAAGCUCCGAAUCCCACCAGCGCCUCCUACCAACCUCACCUCACCCCACCCCGUCCCUGUGCCUUCCCGCGCUCCGGUGUCCCCCGCUGCCAUG
rnacentral:other from 1 species